CAAAAAGUAGCUUAUAAAGCACUCAGCUUACACCUGAGAGAUGCCCGCCAAGGGCCUUUUUGC
rnacentral:tRNA from 1 species